rnacentral:rRNA from 1 species
GAAAGUAAGCAAGGGCAGACGGUGGAUGCCUUGGCUCUCGGAGGCGAUGAAGGACGUGAUAAGCUGCGAUAAGCUGGGGGUAGAUGCAAAUAAUCUUUGAUCCCCGGAUUUCCGAAUGGGGCAACCCGGCAGGUUGAAGGCCUGCCAUCCUGAACAGGGAGGCGAACGUGGGGAACUGAAACAUCUAAGUACCCAUAGGAGGAGAAAAUAAUAAUGAUUCCGCAAGUAGUGGCGAGCGAACGCGGAAGAGCCCAAACCGGUAUUGUUUAGGCAAUACCGGGGUUGUAGGACCACGCUGUGGCAAGAAAUUAGGAAAGUGGAACGCUUUGGAAAAAGCGAUCAUAGAGGGUGAAAAUCCCGUACACGACUUUCUAACGAAGCCUAGUGGUAUCCUGAGUAGCGCGGAGCACGAGGAAUUCUGUGUGAAUUAGCGGGGCCCAUCCCGUAAGGCUAAAUACUCCCGAGAGACCGAUAGCGAACCAGUACCGUGAGGGAAAGGUGAAAAGAACCUCGAAUAGAGGAGUGAAAUAGACCCUGAACCCGUCUGCCUACAAGCGGUCGGAGCAGCGUAAGCUGUGACGGCGUGCCUUUUGCAUAAUGAACCUACGAGUUACUUUCUCCGGCAAGGUUAAGUAUUUCAGAUACGGAGCCGAAGCGAAAGCGAGUCUGAAUAGGGCGGUAUAGUCGGAGGGAGUAGACGCGAAACCAAGUGAUCUACCCAUGGUCAGGUUGAAGGUUAGGUAACACUAACUGGAGGACCGAACCGGUAAGCGUUGAAAAGCUUUCGGAUGAACUGUGGGUAGGGGUGAAAGGCUAAUCAAACUUGGAGAUAGCUCGUACUCCCCGAAAUGCAUUUAGGUGCAGCCUUUAUUUAGUAUAGCAUGAGGUAGAGCGACUGAUUGGAUGCGAGGGCUUCACCGCCUAUCAAGUCCAGAUAAACUCCGAAUGCGUGCUAUAUAUUGAUAAGGAGUGAGGGCGCGGGUGCUAAGGUCCGCGUCCGAGAGGAGAAGAAUCCAGACCAUCAGCUAAGGUCCCCAAAUAACAGUUAAGUUGAACUAACGAAGUCAGACUGCAGAGACAGCUAGGAUGUUGGCUUGGAAGCAGCCAUUCAUUUAAAGAGUGCGUAACAGCUCACUAGUCGAGGAGUUUGGCGUGGAUAAUACUCGGGCAUAAACUGUUUACCGAAGCUAUGGAUGUCGUAAGACAUGGUAGGGGAGCAUUCUAUGGACGUUGAAGGUGAGGGAUAACCCUUGCUGGAGUGCAUAGAAAAGCAAAUGUAGGUAUAAGUAACGAUAAAGGAAGUGAGAAACUUCCUCGCCGAAAGACUAAGGUUUCCUGAUCAACGUUAAUCGGAUCAGGGUAAGUCGGGACCUAAGGAUAAGCCGAACGGCGAUUCCGAUGGAAGAAUGGUUUAAUAUUCCCAUACUACUUUAUUGAGCGAUGUGGAGACGGAGAAGUGACAGUCCUGCCAUCUGACGGAAUAGAUGGUUAAAGGGUGUAGGCGUUGAUCGAAGUAGGCAAAUCCGCUUUGAGAGCUGAACCUGACAGUAUACCGAGUACUUGUACAAGGUAAUAUGGACGUAAACAGGCUCCCUAGAAAAUCCGCUAAGCAUAUCAAUAAAGUACCCGUACCGUAAACGGACACACGUAGUUGGGUUGAGAAUACUGAGGCGCUCGAGUGAUUCACGGUUAAGGAACUAGGCAAAUUGACCCUGUAACUUCGGGAUAAAGGGUCCCUAUCGAAAGGUAGGGCGCAGAGAAUAGGUCCAGGCAACUGUUUAACAAAAACACAUGGCUGUGCAAAAUAGAAAUAUGAAGUAUACAGCCUGACACCUGCCCGGUGCUGGAAGGUUAAGAGGAGAGCUUAUCGCAAGAGAAGGUUUGAAUUGAAGCCCCAGUAAACGGCGGCCGUAACUAUAACGGUCCUAAGGUAGCGAAAUUCCUUGUCGGGUAAGUU